ensembl:lncRNA
CCCUAAAACUGUACAUUAAUCUCAUUUUUGUUGAAUGGUAUCUGGCUAAUGUGCACAUUUUUAUUUCAUUACUAUUGAUUCUUGGAAAUAACAGGAAAUAUCCUAUUUGGUCCAGUCAUCCCUGUUCUUGCUGCACAGAUGUGUAGCACAUUUCUAGAGAAGUCUCCUCAGAGGCAUCUUCCAUUUAAUUCAAUUGGUCAUCUUCCCAACACUGAUAUCAGCAUGGAGUUUGGCUUGGACAAAUGUUCGACAGUGGCAUUGAAGAAGGGAAAAAUCAUUGAAAGUGAGGGCAUAAAUAUGCCUAAUGGCCAAACAAUAAAGUGUCACCAGCCAGAGGCCUAUAAAUAUCUGGGCAUAUUACAGCUGGACAACAUCAAGCAUGAACAUGUGAAGACUGUGGUCAGCAAAGAAUACACACAAAGGGUCAGAAAAAUUCUCAAAAGCAAGCUCAAUGGAGGCAACACCAUCAAGGCCAUAAACACCUGGGCCAUACCUGUCAUAAGAUAUACUGCUGGCAUCAUAAAUUGGACACAGAUGGAACUGGACAAUUUGGACAGAAAAACAAGAAAACUCAUGACCAUUCAUCAUUCACUGCAUCCUCACAGUGAUGUUGACCGGCUAUAUCUGCCUAGAAGAUCAGGGGGCAGAGGACUCUUACAAGUAAAACAAGCAGUCAAAGAAGAAGAACAUGCCCUGGCAGAAUAUGUAAAGCAAAGUGAAGAACCUGCUUUGAUUGAAGUCAAAAAUCAGAAACUCCUCAAAGCACAGCAGACAAAAAACCAGUACAAGAAAGCCACACUACAAACUAGAGCUGACAGCUGGCACAACAAAACAUUGCAUGGAAAGUUCCUUGACAAAAUUGAAGGAAAAGCUGAUAAGGAGAAGACCUGGCUCUGGCUCACAAAUGGGACCCUGAAGAAGGAGACAGAAGGCCUGAUCCUUGCAGCCCAGGAGCAAGCCAUAAGAACAAACGCAAUUAAGGCCAAGAUUGAAAAAUCAGCUGAUGACCUAAAAUGCAGACUGUGCAAGGAAGCUGAUGAAACCAUUGAUCACAUCCUCAGCUGCUGUAAGAAAAUUGCACAGACAGACUACAAACAGAGGCACAACUGUGUGGCCCAAAUGAUCCAUUGGAACUUAUGCCUCAAAUACCACCUCCCAGCAGCAAAGAACUGGUGGGAUCACAAACCUGCAAAAGUAUUGGAGAAUGAGCAUGCAAAAAUACUGUGGGACUUUCAAAUCCAGACUGACAAAGUUCUGGAACACAACACACCAGACAUCACAGUUGUGGAAAAGAAAAAGGUUUGGAUCAUUGAUGUCUCCAUCCCAGGUGACAGUCGCAUUGACGAAAAACAACAGGAAAAACUCAGCCGCUAUCAGGACCUCAAGAUUUAACUUCAAAGACUCUGGCAGAAACCAGUGCAGGUGGUCCCGGUGGUGAUGGGCACAUUAGGUGCCGUGCCAAAAGAUCUCAGCCGGCAUUUGGAAACAAUAGACAUUGACAAAAUUACGAUCUGCCAGCUGCAAAAGGCCACCCUGCUGGGAUCUGCGCGCAUCAUCCGAAAAUACAUCACACAGUCCUAGACACUUGGGAAGUGUUCGACUUGUGAUUUUGUGAUAUGAAAUCCAGCAUAUCUAUCUUGUUUGCUGUGUCAUAAUAAAUAAUAAUAAUAAUAAUAAUAAUAAUAAUAAUAAUAAUAUAAUAAUAUAAUAAUAAUAAUAAUAAUAAUAAUAAUAAUAAUAAUAUAAUCAUCAACAACAACAACAAAAUUGAAGGAAAAGCUGAUAAGGAGAAGACCUGACCUGGCAAUGACUCACGAAUGGGACCCUGAAGAAGGAGACAGAAGGCCUGAUCCUUGCAGCCCAGGAGCAAGCCAUCAGAACAAAUGCAAUUAAGGCCACAAUCGAAAAAUCAGCUGAUA